AAACCCCGUCUCUAAUAAAAAUGCAAAAAAAAAAAAAUUAGCCGGGCGCGGUGGCGGGCGCCUGUAGUCCCAGCUACUCCGGAGGCCGAGGCAGGAAAAUGGCGGGAACCUGGGAGGCGGAGCUUGUAGUGAGCGGAGAUCGCGCCACUGCACUCCCGCCUGAGCGACAGAGCGAGACUCCAUCUCAGAAAAGAAAAGAAGUCUGAUAACCUUCUAAUUUCCAACAAUUUUUAGGAAACAGAACAUUAAUUGAGCAGCUAUCGUGUGUUAGGAGAACCUAUCCUUGGGAAUUCAUAAUCAAAAGAAGAACAUGAGAGAUUCAAAGGCAAAUGAAAAGCAAGCACAACAGCAAGGGAGAGAGAAAUAUGGAGAGGAGAGAAAAGAGAAGAGGAAGAUGAGAGGAGAAAACUGUGUUCUUCUGAUGGAGCCUCAGAAGUCACAUACAGUCACUUCUACCUCAUUCUAUUCCAGGAAAGCAAACAACAAAGGCUGGCCCAGAAUCAAAUAGAGCUGGUUGAAUCUUGAACUACACUGCAUGCCUUCCCACUAAGGUGCCCAUUUUAUAACCUCCUCUUAGAAACUUGAAGAAUGCUCCCACCUGCUGAAUAAAAUAUGAAUGGAGAUUAAAAACUGAUGAUGAAAGAAGUAAA